rnacentral:rRNA from 1 species
UAAUCUGGAGAAGCACUAUCCGCGCUGAACCAUGUAUAAGUCUUCUGGAAUGGAGUGUCAUAGAGGGUGAGAAUCCCGUCUUUGACAUGGACUACCAGUGCUUUUGUGAUGUGCUCUCAAAGAGUCGACUUGUUUGGGAAUGCAGCUCUAAAUGGGUGGUAAAUUCCAUCUAAAGCUAAAUAUUGGCAAGAGACCGAUAGCGAACAAGUACCGUGAGGGAAAGAUGAAAAGAACUUUGGAAAGAGAGUUAAACAGUACGUGAAAUUGUUGAAAGGGAAACGCUUGAAGUCAGUCACAUUGACUAGGAAUCAACCUUGCAUCUUUGCUUGGUGUAUUUUCUGGUUAAUGGGUCAGCAUCAAUUUUGACCGGUGGAAAAAGGUCAAGGGAACGUGGCAUCCUUGGAUGUGUUAUAGCCUUUGAUUGUAUACACUGGUUAGGAUUGAGGAACUCAGUACUUGUUGCUUAGGAUGCUGGCAUAAUGGCUUUAAUCGACCCGUCUUGAAACACGGACCAAGGAGUCUAACAUGCCUGCAAGUGUUUGGGUGGAAAACCCAAGCGCGCAAUGAAAGUGAAAGUUGGGAUCCUUGUCAUGGGGAGCACCGACACCCAGACCAGACCUUCUGUGACGGAUCUGCGGUAGAGCAUGUAUGUUGGGACCCGAAAGAUGGUGAACUAUGCCUGAAUAGGGUGAAGCCAGAGGAAACUCUGGUGGAGGC